CAGAUUAUUGAAUAAUAAAAUACAGUUUUGAAAAAAAUGGAUGAAGAACCUGAAAGAACUAAGCGAUGGGAAGGAGGCUAUGAAAGAACAUGGGAGAUUCUUAAAGAAGAUGAAUCUGGAUCACUUAAAGCUACAAUAGAAGACAUUCUAUUCAAGGCAAAGAGAAAAAGAGUAUUUGAGCACCAUGGACAAGUUCGACUUGGAAUGAUGCGCCACCUUUAUGUGGUAGUAGAUGGAUCAAGAACAAUGGAAGACCAAGAUUUAAAGCCUAAUAGACUGACGUGUACUUUAAAGUUGUUGGAAUACUUUGUAGAGGAAUAUUUUGAUCAAAAUCCUAUUAGUCAGAUUGGAAUAAUUGUAACUAAGAGUAAAAGAGCUGAAAAAUUGACUGAACUUUCAGGAAACCCAAGAAAACAUAUAACGUCUUUGAAGAAAGCUGUGGAUAUGACCUGCCAUGGAGAGCCAUCUCUUUAUAAUUCCCUAAGCAUAGCUAUGCAGACUCUAAAACACAUGCCUGGACAUACAAGUCGAGAAGUACUAAUCAUCUUUAGCAGCCUUACAACUUGCGAUCCAUCUAAUAUUUAUGAUCUAAUCAAGACCCUAAAGGCAGCUAAAAUUAGAGUAUCUGUUAUUGGAUUGUCUGCAGAAGUUCGCGUUUGCACUGUACUUGCUCGUGAAACUGGUGGUAUAUAUAUAAUUUAUUUAAUAUUUGCUUAUAAUUACUGUGUAGGAAAUAAUUUAUUAAUUAAAUUAGGAUGUUUUAAUCUGUUCUGAGCUACUAAACUUAAAGUAGUCUAAAAUAUGGGCAGUCAUCUUAAAUAUAUCAUUGAUUCCAUAAGAAAUCAUCUCCAAAUGCAAAGAGUUUUCAGUACUUAUGUCAGUAUUUAGAGGAGGUAUUAUAACUCUUGGAAAGCUGGAAAUUUUACUGUAUGUAAUUCUUUAUAAAGAUUUUAUAACUUGUCUUUAAUUAAAUUGUAAUUACAGGCCAGGCAUGAUAGCUCAUGCCUGUAAUCUCAACAUUUUGGUAGGCCAAGGCAGGAGAAUCACUUGAGGCCAGAAGUUUGAGAUCAGUCUGGUUAACAUAGUGAGACCUGUCUCUAUUUAUAUGUUAAAAUAAUAAUAAUAGUAAUAAUAAUCAAUUGUAAUUAUAGUUAUUCCUAGAGAAGUUGAUUUAGAUAUAUUACUUAAAUAAGGUUUUAAAAGUGAUAAUUUAGCUAAAAUCAUUAUUUUAAAAAUGUACAUUUUCAGAUGAUACAACUUUUACAGAAUUACAUAGAACGUACAGUUCGUUAUGUCUAUGAAGGUGUUUUUUUUUCCCUUUUCAUCUUGUUAGGCACGUACCAUGUUAUUUUAGAUGAAAGCCAUUACAAAGAGUUGCUCACACAUCAUGUUAGUCCUCCUCCUGCUAGCUCAAGUUCUGAAUGCUCACUUAUUCGUAUGGGUAAGUGUUUUUAUGUUUUUAAAAAAUACAUAUCUAGGCUCUCCAUUUUCAUUUGCACAAGUUAUUUUAAUAUUUAAGAAUUUUUAAAGAAAAAAUAUGCUUGUUGAAGCAAUUUUGGAAAGUACAGAGAAGUGGAAAAAAAAAAUUAAAACUACCAGUAGUCCUGUCACCCAGAAAAUACUGUUGGCUUUCUUUAUUUUUAAGGCUAGAAAGGUAUAAACUGUGUUUAUAGAAAAAUACUUAUAUUAAGCCGGGCUCGGUGGCUCACGCCUGUAAUCCCAGCACUUUGGGAGGCCGAGGUGGGCGGAUCUUGAGGUCAGGAGAUCGAGACCAUCCUGGCUAACACGGUGAAACCCCAUCUCUACUAAAAAUACAAAAAAUUAGCCAGGCGUGGUGGCGGGCGCCUGUAAUCCCAGCUCCUCGGGAGGCUGAGGCAGGAGAAUGGCAUGAACCCGGGAGGCAGAGCUGGAAAUGAGCCGAGAUCACACCACUGCACUCUAGCCUGGGCGACAGAGCGAGACUCUGUCUCAAAAAAGAAAACAAAAGAAAA
rnacentral:lncRNA from 1 species